GACUUCAACUGAAAAAAGUCAUCAACAACAAAGUUGUAUAAUCCAUCUAGAUCUACAAUUCUUAUUUUGGUCAUUUGUUCAUCUGAUAAAGUAUUUUUUAACAUUGUUCAUAAAUUUUACAAAUCUUCCAUAUGGUUUCAUAAAUUAUAAGAGAGGUGUGUAAAUUUUGUGAACAAUGUUACUAUCACUUUAUCGGAUGAAUAAAUGACCAAAAUAAAAGUUAUAGUUAUUAAUGAGUUAUACAACUUUGUUGUUGAUGACUUUUUCAGUUGAGGUU
rnacentral:pre_miRNA from 1 species